AGGAUUAUUAUGACUUCAUCAGCUUCAGGAAUAUAUGGCAACUUUGGCCAGGCCAAUUAUAGUGCUGCAAAGUUGGGUCUUCUGGGCCUUGCAAAUUCUCUUGCAAUUGAAGGCAGGAAAAGCAACAUUCAUUGUAACACCAUUGCUCCUAAUGCGGGAUCACGGAUGACUCAGACAGUUAUGCCUGAAGAUCUUGUGGAAGCCCUGAAGCCAGAGUAUGUGGCACCCCUUGUCCUUUGGCUUUGUCACGACAGUUGUGAGGAGAAUGGUGGCUUGUUUGAGGUUGGAGCAGGAUGGAUUGGAAAAU
rnacentral:sRNA from 1 species